rnacentral:ncRNA from 1 species
GUCUAAGUACAUACCUUAAAACGGUAAAACCGUGAAUGGCUCAUUAAAUCAGCUAUGGUUCCUUAGAUCAUAUAUACUACAUUGAUAACUGUAGUAAUUCUAUAGCUAAUACAUGCAAUUAUACCCUGACCCGCAAGGGAAUGGGUGCAUUUAUUAGAACAGAACCAACCGGGGCAGUUUCGGCUGUCUCUGUCGAAUUCUGUGAUGACUCUGGAUAACUUCAAUGAUCGCAGUCGACCUUGUAUCGGCGACGGAUCUUUCAUAUGUCUGCGAUAAAAAUAGCUCUUAGUUUUAGGUUGGAG